rnacentral:rRNA from 1 species
UACGGGGGGUGCGAGCGUUGUCCGGAAUCACUGGGCGUAAAGGGCGCGUAGGUGGCGUCGUAAGUCUGUGGUGAAAGCCCGGAGCUCAACUCCGGGUCUGCCGCGGAUACUGCGAGGCUUGAGUGCUGUAGAGGGGGGUAGAAUGCCGGGUGUAGCGGUGGAAUGCGUAGAGAUCCGGCAGAAGACCGGUGGCGAAGGCGGCCCCCUGGGCAGUAACUGACACUGAGGCGCGGCAGCGUGGGGAGCAAACAGG